GGACUGAUCCAGGGACGCCCUCCCUUCACUUUCAGCGCCCGCUCCGCUCCCGGCCCCGCCACCAUGACGGAACAGGCAGUCUCCUUUGCCGAAAGCGUCCUGGCAGGAGACAUGGCCGCCGCCAUCUCCAAGACGGCCGUUGCCCGGAUCCAACGGGUCAAGCUGCUGCUGCAAGCAGCACAAAGGCAUCGUGGACCUCAUCGUCCGCACCCCAAGGAGCAGGGCGUGCUGUCCUUUUGGAGGGGCAACCUGGCCAAUGUCAUCCGCUACUUCCCCACGCAAGCCCUCCACUUGGCCUUCAAGGAUCAGUACAAGCAAAUCUUCCUGGUGUUGGGGGGGUGGGGGGGAGCCAAGCACAAGCCGUUCGUUCCGGAGGUAUUUUGCAGGUAAUCUGGCUCCCUGGGGUGCUGUCGAACGACCUGCCUCUGCUUCAUGCGCCCCCUGGAUUUCACCAGAACCCGCCCGGCAGCCGAUGUGGGGAAAUCCGGCAGGGAGCGCGCGUUCCAAGGCCUGGGAGACUGACUGCCUGGCAAAGGUCUCCACGUCCGACAGCGUCCGGGGCCGGUACCAGGGCUCCAGCGUCCACGUGCAGGGCAUCAUCAUCUACCCUGCCGCCUACUUCUGCGUGUACCACACGGCCAAGGGCAUCCUCCCCGACCCCAAGAACACGCACAUCGUGGGGAGCUGGAUGAUCGCGCAGAGGGUGGCGCGCGUGGCGGGGGUGGUUUCCUACCCCUUCCACCCCUUGCAGCCACAGAGGAUGAUGCGGUCCCGGGCAAAGGAGCUGACAUAAGUACACGGGCACCGCCUACUGUUGGAGGAAGAUCUUCAGAGACAGGUGGGCAAGGCCUUCUUCAAGGGUCCUUAGGGGCAAGGGGGCCGCCUUCCUGCUGGUCCUGGACGACGAGCUGAAGAAGGUCAUCUAAAGGCCUCAGUGGCCUCCUCUACACACACACAAGGGAACCAAGAGAACCACGUAGAAUCCUCAACGAUGCGGACCACUGACCCUCGAGAAAUUCCAGUCAUCUUUUUCCCAGCCGAUCCUUCCUGUAGAUGGCCAGGGAAGGCUCUAGAAAAGGGGUACCUUGUGAUCCAACGAUCGGCACUCGAUGCCAUGUCUUGAUCACUGGGGGAAGGGAACCAUGGCGUCCUCGCGGGCCCACGGAUGAGACACUCCAAUACUCAGACCUAGAGUCCAGAUGUUUGUAGGACCCAAGUCGUGUUUAAGUAUUUAUUUAAGACAAAAGAAUCAUGUUUCCCAUUUGUACUU